rnacentral:rRNA from 1 species
UAGGGAAUCUUCGGCAAUGGGGGGAACCCUGACCGAGCAACGCCGCGUGAGUGAAGAAGGUUUUCGGAUCGUAAAGCCCUGUUGUUAAGGAAGAACGAGUGUGAGAAUGGAAAGUUCAUACUGUGACGGUACUUAACCAGAAAGGGACGGCUAACUACGUGCCAGCAGCCGCGGUAAUACGUAGGUCCCGAGCGUUGUCCGGAUUUAUUGGGCGUAAAGCGAGCGCAGGCGGUUAGAAAAGUCUGAAGUGAAAGGCAGUGGCUCAACCAUUGUAGGCUUUGGAAACUGUUUAACUUGAGUGCGGAAGGGGAGAGUGGAAUUCCAUGUGUAGCGGUGAAAUGCGUAGAUAUAUGGAGGAACACCGGUGGCGAAAGCGGCUCUCUGGUCUGUAACUGACGCUGAGGCUCGAAAGCGUGGGGAGCGAACAGG